CCGGCCAACCGGAAUACUUGCUAGAGAGACUCGACUAAGUCAUCAUAUUAUGAAUGAUAAUACCAAUAGUAGAUGAGCACCAGGCCUUUGGGCCUCUAAUGAUCAUCAUACUAAUGGACCCAUUAUCACCUAACUUAAUGGGAGGCCAUGAUUUAGUUAUCACCAUAACUAUCUCAUUUUAGAGAUCUAAUAAUUUAGAAAAUUUAAUUUAUGAAUUAAGAGAAGA
rnacentral:lncRNA from 1 species